rnacentral:rRNA from 1 species
UAAUAAAUAGCCUUUUAGUGGGAGGCCAGUGAAUGGCAAGACUAGGGACAUCUGUACCCUGUGUAGAAAAACAACUUUUCAUCUGGGUGAAAAGACCCAAAUAAUAAAGGAAGACGAAAAGACCCCGCGGAACUUUACCUUUUCCAGUCUCCAUAUGCUCAGAAACAUAAGAACAAAAGGUUUGAUUGGGGCAAUCUCGGAACCACCUAAACUUCCGACUUAUAAGAAAAAGUAUAUAAAACUCAAUAAGGACCAAAAAGAAGUUACCCCGGGGAUAACAGCGUAAUCCAACUUGAGAGUACACAUCGAAAGCUGGG